rnacentral:rRNA from 1 species
GAGUACGGCCGCAAGGCUAAAACUCAAAGAAAUUGACGGGGGCCCGCACAAGCGGAGGAGCAUGUGGCUCAAUUCGAUGCAACGCGAAGAACCUUACCAGGGCUUGACAUGCAGCUGCACGCUUACCGAAAGGUAGGAAGCUUUCGAAGGUGCUGCACAGGUGCUGCAUGGCUGUCGUCAGUUCGUGCCGUGAGGUGUUAGGUUAAGUCCUGCAACGAACGCAACCCUUGUGUUUAGUUGCCACCGCAGGUGAUGAGCCUGCGAGCACUCUAAACAGACUGCCUGUGUAAGCGGGAGGAAGGUGGGGAUGACGUCAAGUCAGUAUGGCCCUUACGCCCUGGGCUGCACACGUGCUACAAUGGCCGAUACAAUGAGACGCGAAACCGCGAGGCGGAGCAAAUCUCCAACGUCGGCCCCAGUUCGGAUUGGAGUCUGAAACUCGACUCCAUGAAGUUGGAUUCGCUAGUAACGGCGCAUCAGCUACGGCGCCGUGAAUACGUUCCCGGGCCUUGUACACACCGCCCGUCACAUCAUGAAAGCCGUCUGCACCCGAAGUCGCUGUCCGAACCCGCAAGGGAAGAAGGCGCCGAAGGUGUGGGUGGUGAUUGGGAUGAAGUCGUAACAAGGUAACCAAGGGCGAA